AGCAGCCGCGGUAAUUCCAGCUCCAAUAGCGUAUAUUAAAGUUGUUGCAGUUAAAAGCUCGUAGUUGAAUUUCGGGAUCAAUGUUUCGGUCAUGCCGUUGGUAUGUACUGAUAUUAUUGGUUUCUCACCUUCUAAAGAACCGUAAUGCCAUUAAUUUGGUGUCACGGGGAAUUAGGACUGUUACCUUGAAAAAUUAGAGUGUUUAAAGCAGGCUUACGCUUGAAUACAUUAGCAUGGAAUAAUGAAAUAGGACAUCCGAUUCUAUUUUGUUGGUUUCUAGGAUCGAUGUAAUGAUUAAUAGGGAUAGUUGGGGGCAUUAGUAUUCAAUUGUCAGAGGUGAAAUUCUUGGAUUUAUUGAAGACUAACUACUGCGAAAGCAUUUGCCAAGGAUGUUUUCAUUAAUCAAGAACGAAAGUUAGGGGAUCGAAGACGAUCAGAUACCGUCGUAGUCUUAACCAUAAACUAUGCCGACUAGGGAUCGGAUGAUGUUAAUUUUUAAUGUACUCAUUCGGCGCCUUAA
rnacentral:rRNA from 1 species